AGUGGUACCAGAGUACCACGAGGCACGUGAAACCUCGUGGGAAGCUGGGGGGACCACCCCCCAAGGCUAAAUACUACCUAGUGACCGAUAGAGAAUAGUACCGUGAGGGAAAGGUGAAAAGAACCCCGGGAGGGGAGUGAAAUAGAACCUGAAACCUUAUGCUUACAAGCAAUGGGAGCGCAAGUGACCAUGUACUUUUUGUAGAACGGGCCAACGAGUUAUGGUGUGUAGCAAGGUUAAGAUGUUCAGCAUCGGAGCCGAAGCGAAAGCGAGUCUUAAUAGGGCGAGUUAGUUGCACGCUGUAGACCCGAAACCGGGUGACCUAUCCAUGUGCAGGUUGAAGCGAGAGUAAAAUCUCGUGGAGGACCGAACCCAUAUCUGUGAAAAAGGUUGGGAUGACGUGUGGAUAGAGGUGAAAUUCCAAUCGAACCCGGAUAUAGCUGGUUCUCCUCGAAAUAGCUUUAGGGCUAGCCUCAAUUUAGAUACGCGGAGGUAGAGCACUGAAUGUUCUAGGGGCCUUCACCGGUUACCGAAAACUAUCAAACUCCGAAUGCCGCAGUAUUGAUGAUUGGGAGUCAGACUAUGUGAGAUAAGUUUCAUAGUCGAAAGGGAAACAGCCCAGACCAACAGCUAAGGUCCCAAAGUGUAAGUUAAGUGGAAAAGGAUGUGGAGCUGCAUAGACAACUAGGAUGUUGGCUUAGAAGCAGCCACUCAUUUAAAGAGUGCGUAAUAGCUCACUAGUCGAGUGGCUCUGCGCCGAAGAUAAACGGGGCUAAAACUUACCACCGAAGCUAUGGAUACGAGAGUAAUCUUGUAUGGUAGAGGAGCAUCGUAUAAGGGUUGAAGCAGUAUUGUAAAGUAUUGUGGACAUUAUACGAGAGAGAAUGUUGGCAUGAGUAACGAAUGGCAGGUGAGAAUCCUGCCCACCGAAAACCUAAGGUUUCCUGAGGAAGGCUCGUCCGCUCAGGGUAAGUCGGGACCUAAGCCGAGGACGAAGGUCGUAGGCGAUGGACAACUGGUUGAGAUUCCAGUACCACCGAAAAUCGUUUGAGUGAAGUGGGGACACAGAAGGAUAAGUUGAGCGCACGAAUGGAAGAGUGCGUCUAAGCGGCAAGUGAGAUAUCUUAGGCAAAUCCGGGAUAUCAUAUUGUGAGCCGUGAUGGGGAGGGAAAAUAAGUACCGAAGCAACUGAUUUCACACUGUCAAGAAAAGCCGCUAGCGAGAUUGUAGGUGCCCGUACCGUAAACCGACACAGGUAGGUAAGGAGAGAAUCCUAAGGUGAGCGAGAGAACUAUUGUUAAGGAACUCGGCAAAAUAACCCCGUAACUUCGGGAGAAGGGGUGCCUGCGCAAGCAGGCCGCAGUGAAAAGGCCCAGGCGACUGUUUAACAAAAACACAGGUCUCUGCUAAGUCGAAAGACGAUGUAUAGGGGCUGACGCCUGCCCGGUGCUGGAAGGUUAAGGGGAAAUGUUAGCGCAAGCGAAGCAUAGAACUUAAGCCCCAGUAAACGGCGGCCGUAACUAUAACGGUCCUAAGGUAGCGAAAUUCCUUGUCGGGUAAGUUCCGACCUGCACGAAUGGCGUAACGA
rnacentral:rRNA from 1 species